rnacentral:rRNA from 1 species
UAUAACAUUAAACGACUCUCGGCAACGGAUAUCUCGGCUCUCGCAUCGAUGAAGAACGUAGCGAAAUGCGAUACUGGUGUGAAUUGCAGAAUCCCGUGAACCAUCGAGUCUUUGAACGCAAGUUGCCCCCGAAGCUUUUAGGUCAGGACACGACUGCUUGGGCGCCAAGA